rnacentral:tRNA from 1 species
GCCCGUUUAGCAUAGUCGUUAUUGCGCGGCACUUGUACCCGAGUUUCACCUUCAACGCAAUGCCGAGGUCGCUAGUUCAAAUCUGGCAACGGGCA